UACGAAGGGGGCUAGCGUUGCUCGGAAUCACUGGGCGUAAAGCGCACGUAGGCGGCUUGUUAAGUCAGGGGUGAAAUCCUGGAGCUCAACUCCAGAACUGCCUUUGAUACUGGGAGACUUGGAGUCCGGGAGAGGUGAGUGGAACUGCGAGUGUAGAGGUGAAAUUCGUAGAUAUUCGCAAGAACACCAGUGGCGAAGGCGGCUCACUGGCCCGGUACUGACGCUGAGGUGCGAAAGCGUGGGGAGCAAACAGG
rnacentral:rRNA from 1 species